UGUGCGAUUUUGGCCCCCCAUGUUUCAUAAUUGUGCAAUUUUGCCCCCCACGUUUCACAUGUGCGAUUUUGGCCCCCUAGGUUUGCCCUCUUUUGCAUUUCUUGGUCCCCGUUGACUAUUUUGACCAAAAAUUGUUGACAUGAAAUUUUUUUGACACGUGUCUUAAUUGUAUUGGCCAACCAAAAUUUAUUAUUAUUAUUUUUAAAAAAAAAAAAUUAAGAAAGGUCACGUGACUUUUUUUGGGGGGUUAAUUAUUAUUCUUUUGACAAAAUAGGUACAAAAAAUGGAACCAAGAUCUCAUCUUCUUCUCCAUCAGUAAAACAAUCUCUUUGAUCAAUUUCUUCAGGUUAUAUCACAGCUUUCCAAACAAAAUUUGAAAAAGCCUUAUGACUGCUCGCGAAUUGCCUCAUAUCACUCAUCGACGAUGCGUUCUUCCGUUCACCGACAAACCCAGAAUUACCAUCUGAUUUCCUUUCCAUAAAUUUGGGUUUGGAUUGUGUGAAAUACCCUCUGAAACUUUGAUUUCUUGAC
rnacentral:lncRNA from 1 species